rnacentral:rRNA from 1 species
AAUUUUGGACAAUGGGGGCAACCCUGAUCCAGCAAUACCGCGUGUGUGAAGAAGGCCUGCGGGUUGUAAAGCACUUUAGGUGUGGAGAAAGGCUUAGCGGUGAAUAGCCGUUAGGAUUGAUGUUACACACAGAAUAAGCACCGGCUAACUCUGUGCCAGCAGCCGCGGUAAUACAGAGGGUGCGAGCGUUAAUCGGAAUUACUGGGCGUAAAGCGCAUGUAGGUGGGAUAUUAAGUUUGAUGUGAAAGCCCUGGGCUUAACCUGGGAAUGGCGUUGAAGACUGGUAUUCUAGAGUUUGAUAGAGGGUCGUGGAAUUUCCGGUGUAGCGGUGAAAUGCGUAGAGAUCGGAAAGAACACCAGUGGCGAAGGCGGCGACCUGGGUCAAAACUGACACUGAGAUGCGAAAGCGUGGGGAGCAAAC